rnacentral:rRNA from 1 species
GAUGAACGCUAGCGGCAGGCUUAACACAUGCAAGUCGAGGGGCAGCAUAUUUUGUAGUAAUACAAGAUGAUGGCGACCGGCGCACGGGUGCGUAACGCGUAUGCAACCUACCAUAUACAGGGGGAUAAACUUUCGAAAGGGAGCCUAAUACCCCAUAGUAUUAUUUUAAGGCAUCUUGCAAUAAUUAAAGAUUAAUUGGUAUAUGAUGGGCAUGAGUGUCAUUAGCUAGUUGGUAAGGUAACGGCUUACCAAGGCGACGAUGACUAGGGGUUCUGAGAGGAAGAUCCCCCACACUGGUACUGAGACACGGACCAGACUUCUACGGGAGGCAGCAGUGGGGAAUAUUGGUCAAUGGUCGAGAGCCUGAACCAGCCAUGCCGCGUGCAGGAAGACGGCCCUAUGGGUUGUAAACUGCUUUUAUGUGAGGAUAAACCUAUUCUUGCGAGAGUAGCUGAAGGUAUCACAUGAAUAAGGAUCGGUUAACUCCGUGCCAGCCGCCGCGGUAA